CAAUAGCGUAUAUUAAAGUUGUUGCAGUUAAAAAGCUCGUAGUUGGAUUUGUGGCAGUCCCUGUGGUCCAAUUUUGGUACUAUCGGGGACAGCCAUCCUUGGGUGGAUGCUGUGUGGCAUUAGGUUGUCGUGCAGUGGAUGCCCAUCGUUUACUGUGAAAAAAUUAGAGUGUUCAAAGCAGGCUUACGCCGUUGAAUAUAUUAGCAUGGAAUAAUGAGAUAGGACCUUGGUACUAUUUUGUUGGUUUGCGCACCGAGGUAAUGAUUAAUAGGGACAGUUGUGGGUAUUCGUAUUCCAUUGUCAGAGGUGAAAUUCUUGGAUUUCUGGAAGACGAACGAAUGCGAAAGCAUUUACCAAGGAUGUUUUCAUUAA
rnacentral:rRNA from 1 species